CCUACGGGAGGCUGCAGUGGGGAAUAUUGGGCAAUGGAGGCAACUCUUACCCAGCAAUGCCGCGUGAAUGAAGAAGGUCUUCGGAUUGUAAAGUACUUUAAUUGGGGACGAAAAAAAUGACGGUACCCAAGUAAUAAGCCCCCGCUAACUACGUGCCAGCAGCCGCGGGACUACGUAGGGGGCAAGCGUUGUUCGGGAUGACUGGGCGUAAAGGGUGUGUAGGCGGUGUAGCAAGUUAGAAGUGAAAUACCUAGGGCUUAACUCAGGUGCUGCUUCUAAAACUGCUAUACUUGAGUGCAGUAGAGGAAAGUGGAAUUCCUAGUGUAGCGGUGGAAUGCGUAGAUAUUAGGAGGAACAUCAGUGGCGAAGGCGACUUUCUGGACUGUAACUGACGCUGAGGCACGAAAGUGUGGGGAGCAAACAGGAUUAGAUACCCCAGUAGUC
rnacentral:rRNA from 1 species